rnacentral:rRNA from 1 species
GACGUAGGGCGCGAGCGUUGUCCGGAAUCACUGGGCGUAAAGGGCGCGUAGGCGGCCCUCCUAGUCGCGUGUGAAAGCCCCGGGCUCAACCUGGGAACGGCGCGCGAAACGGGGGGGCUGGAGUUCGGGAGAGGAGCGUGGAAUUCCCAGUGUAGAGGUGAAAUUCGUAGAUAUUGGGAAGAACACCGGUGGCGAAGGCGGCGCUCUGGACCGAGACUGACGCUGAGGCGCGGAAAGCGUGGGGAGCAAACAGG